UACGUAGGGUGCAAGCGUUAAUCGGAAUUACUGGGCGUAAAGCGUGCGCAGGCGGUUAUGUAAGACAGGUGUGAAAUCCCCGGGCUCAACCUGGGAACUGCAUCUGUGACUGCAUUGCUGGAGUGCGGCAGAGGGGGAUGGAAUUCCGCGUGUAGCAGUGAAAUGCGUAGAUAUGCGGAGGAACACCGAGGGCGAAGGCAAUCCCCUGGGCCUGCACUGACGCUCAUGCACGAAAGCGUGGGGAGCAAACAGG
rnacentral:rRNA from 1 species